UGUCGAUCCUGUCUGUGCUUUCGAUGGUAUCUGCUUUAAGUCAUUUAAAAAUCGGUGCACAGUAGAAAUCCAAAACUGCAAAAACAAAAUAUAUGGAAGACCGGAUUUUGCAAAACGUCGACCAGGACGGUGUGGGGACAGAAAGCGGUGCUCACAAUUGGAUGAAUGGCGCUAUCAUGGCGUGAGAACAGAACCAUGGGAACCGCCUGUAGGGCGCACAACUGAAAAACCUACUAUUCCUGGAUUCGUAAGCACUCCUGAAUCAGCUAACACUCCUGAAUCAGCUAACACUCCUGAACCACCUACCACUACUGCGGCACCAUAAACUUCACAGCUGUUCAUGUUAUUAAGUUUAUUAAUUUAGAAGGCAAGUGUAUUGAUUAACUUCUUAGUGUGCCUGAAAUUAGGCAUAUCAUAAAUAAAAACAGGAUACUUUGGAUCCUUUAA